rnacentral:lncRNA from 1 species
UUUUUGUGAAGAGGGGUGAAGGGAAAAGUGGAGAGAGUGCUUUGGAGAGAGCUUGAAAGUGGUCAAGGUGAGUAAGGGUUGAAUGGAAAGGUUAGAUCAAGACCUAGGGUAAGUAAAAUGUGCAAUGGGCCAACUCAAGCUGGGCCCAAAUUUUAAAACCCAAAAACCAAUCUACAGUAUUGCCGCUCAGUGCCAGUUACCGUUGAGCGGUAUGCGCGAGAUUGAUUUUUUUUCUUCCUAGCUUGCCCUAAGUGUAAUUGACCAAAUAUAACUCUCAUUCAACUCUCAAAUAUCGGAUUUGAUGCAAUUUCC